AGAUUGAACGCUGGCGGCAUGCCUUACACAUGCAAGUCGAACGGUAGCAGGUCUUUCGGGAUGCUGACGAGUGGCGAACGGGUGAGUAAUACAUCGGAACGUGCCUNGUAGUGGGGGAUAACUACUCGAAAGAGUGGCUAAUACCGCAUGAGAUCUAUGGAUGAAAGCAGGGGACCUUCGGGCCUUGUGCUACUAGAGCGGCCGAUGGCAGAUUAGGUAGUUGGUGGGAUAAAAGCUUACCAAGCCUACGAUCUGUAGCUGGUCUGAGAGGACGAUCAGCCACACUGGGACUGAGACACGGCCCAGACUCCUACGGGAGGCAGCAGUGGGGAAUUUUGGACAAUGGGGGAAACCC
rnacentral:rRNA from 1 species